CCUACGGGAGGCAGCAGUGAGGAAUAUUGGUCAAUGGACGAGAGUCUGAACCAGCCAAGUAGCGUGAAGGAUGACUGCCCUAUGGGUUGUAAACUUCUUUUAUAUGGGAAUAAAAUGUUCCACGUGUGGGUUUUUGUAUGUACCAUAUGAAUAAGGAUCGGCUAACUCCGUGCCAGCAGCCGCGGUAAUACGGAGGAUCCGAGCGUUAUCCGGAUUUAUUGGGUUUAAAGGGAGCGUAGGUGGAUUGUUAAGUCAGUUGUGAAAGUUUGAGGCUCAACCGUAAAAUUGCAGUUGAAACUGGCAGUCUUGAGUACAGGAGAGGUGGGCGGAAUUCGUGGUGUAGCGGUGAAAUGCUUAGAUAUCACGAAGAACGCCGAUUGCGAAGGCAGCUCACUGGACUGCAACUGACACUGAGGCUCGAAAGUGUGGGUAUCAAACAGGAUUAGAUACCCGAGUAGUC
rnacentral:rRNA from 1 species